UGCGGCGUGCUUAACACAUGCAAGUCGAACGGAAAGGCCCUGCUUUUGUGGGGUGCUCGAGUGGCGAACGGGUGAGUAACACGUGAGUAACCUGCCCUUGACUUUGGGAUAACUUCAGGAAACUGGGGCUAAUACCGGAUAGGAGCUCCUGCUGCAUGGUGGGGGUUGGAAAGUUUCGGCGGUUGGGGAUGGACUCGCGGCUUAUCAGCUUGUUGGUGGGGUAGUGGCUUACCAAGGCUUUGACGGGUAGCCGGCCUGAGAGGGUGACCGGCCACAUUGGGACUGAGAUACGGCCCAGACUCCUACGGGAGGCAGCAGUGGGGAAUAUUGCACAAUGGGCGGAAGCCUGAUGCAGCAACGCCGCGUGCGGGAUGACGGCCUUCGGGUUGUAAACCGCUUUCGCCUGUGACGAAGCGUGAGUGACGGUAAUGGGUAAAGAAGCACCGGCUAACUACGUGCCAGCAGCCGCGGUGAUACGUAGGGUGCGAGCGUUGUCCGGAUUUAUUGGGCGUAAAGGGCUCGUAGGUGGUUGAUCGCGUCGGAAGUGUAAUCUUGGGGCUUAACCCUGAGCGUGCUUUCGAUACGGGUUGACUUGAGGAAGGUAGGGGAGAAUGGAAUUCCUGGUGGAGCGGUGGAAUGCGCAGAUAUCAGGAGGAACACCAGUGGCGAAGGCGGUUCUCUGGGCCUUUCCUGACGCUGAGGAGCGAAAGCGUGGGGAGCGAACAGGCUUAGAUACCCUGGUAGUCCACGCUGUAAACGGUGGGUACUAGGUGUGGGGUCCAUUCCACGGGUUCCGUGCCGUAGCUAACGCUUUAAGUACCCCGCCUGGGGAGUACGGCCGCAAGGCUAAAACUCAAAGGAAUUGACGGGGCCCCGCACAAGCGGCGGAGCAUGCGGAUUAAUUCGAUGCAACGCGUAGAACCUUACCUGGGUUUGACAUGGAUCGGGAGUGCUCAGAGAUGGGUGUGCCUCUUUUGGGGUCGGUUCACAGGUGGUGCAUGGCUGUCGUCAGCUCGUGUCGUGAGAUGUUGGGUUAAGUCCCGCAACGAGCGCAACCCUUGUUCACUGUUGCCAGCACGUUAUGGUGGGGACUCAGUGGAGACCGCCGGGGUCAACUCGGAGGAAGGUGGGGAUGACGUCAAGUCAUCAUGCCCCUUAUGUCCAGGGCUUCACGCAUGCUACAAUGGCUGGUACAGAGAGUGGCGAGCCUGUGAGGGUGAGCGAAUCUCGGAAAGCCGGUCUCAGUUCGGAUUGGGGUCUGCAACUCGACCUCAUGAAGUCGGAGUCGCUAGUAAUCGCAGAUCAGCAACGCUGCGGUGAAUACGUUCCCGGGGCUUGUACACACCGCCCGUCAAGUCAUGAAAGUUGGUAACACCCGAAGCCGGUGGCCUAACCGUUGUGGGGGAGCCGUCGAAGGUGGGACUGGUGA
rnacentral:rRNA from 1 species